GAUGAACGCUAGCUACAGGCUUAACACAUGCAAGUCGAGGGGCAGCAUGAAGGGAACUUCGGUUCUUUUUGAUGGCGACCGGCGCACGGGUGCGUAACGCGUAUCGAACCUGCCUCAUACUCGGGGAUAGCCUUGCGAAAGUAAGAUUAAUACCCGGCGGUCUCGGAUGGCCGCAUGACUAUCCGAGUGAAGAUUUAUCGGUAUGAGAUGGCGAUGCGUCCCAUUAGGUAGUUGGCGGGGUAAGGGCCCACCAAGCCGACGAUGUCUAGGGGUUCUGAGAGGAAGGUCCCCCACACUGGAACUGAGACACGGUCCAG
rnacentral:rRNA from 1 species